rnacentral:lncRNA from 1 species
AAUAUGAAGUUGUAUCUUAUAGAGGCUUUAUUUGUGUUUUUCCAAUAAUAUUUUUAGGGACCAUUGGCCAUUCCUGUAUCAUGUUGUUUUUAAUAUUUUUUUUAAUGUUUAUUAGUUUUUGAGAAAGAAAGAGAGAGAGAGAGCAUACUUACGGGCAGGAGAGUGUCAAAAAGAGGGAGACAGAGAAUUCAAAGCAGGCUCUGUGCAGUGAGCACAGAGCGUGAUGCAGGGCUCAAACCCACCAACUGUGAGAUCAUGACCUGAGCCAAAAUCAAGAGUUGGCCACUUAACUCACUGAGCAUCCCAUGUAUCAUGUUUUAUGAAGUGUCUAUUCAGACAUUUUGCUCAUUUUUAUUGUUAUUUUUCCUUUUGAGUAGCAAGAGAUUUUUUUUCUUUUAAUAUAUUCUGGAUAUAGCAUGUUUGUCAGAUAUAUGUGUUUUGCAUUUAACUCCCCUCUCUGGGGCUCAUUCUCUUAUUUUUGGAAUUGCAGCUUUUGAAGAAUGAAAGUUUUAAAUUUUAAUGAGGCACAAUUUAUCAGUUUGUCUUUUAUACUUUCUGGUUUUUGUGCCCUAUGUAAGAAACUAUUCCCUAUGCAACUGAUAAAUUUCAUUUCAUUUAGUCUCUCAGCAGAUAAAGCUUCCUAGGAAAUAUAUGUCACCUACAUAUACACAAAUAUUUAUAAACAUUUUUGUGACUGUGUGUGUGUGUGUGUGUGCGCACAUGUGUGUGUGGCCUGAUAGGCACAGAAAACCUUCCUGUUCCCAUUUGGUUCCCUAAGUCUGUGCCAUUUUUUCCACAGUCUUCUUUUCUAGAAUUCUCUUCUGAUUCCAAGGUCACUGGUUGAACUCCAGGGAGAGCGAGAUCGCAGACAAUUGGUGCGUGGAUUUGGCAGCCUCUUCUGUGCCUAUUAACCAUAACCAUGUCUACUUACAUUCUUGACCUUCUGCCAGGAGAUCUAUGUUUCUCUGAGAGUUUUAAAUGGGAAGACCUGCUCACUGGAAGGUUGAAAUUGGGGGUCGGGAUCAAUUAGGUUGGGAUUGUAGAUGUAGAAAUAUCAGGCGGUGUCUUUAUUCCUGGCAAUGCAUGUAAGUUCACCCAGAUUUCUGAGUCUGCACCAUGUCCCCUAGGGCCUCCUUUCCCAGAAUGGACCCAGGUGUGUUUGGGACCCUUUGGGGCCUUAGGGUAGAAACUGUGUGCAUGUGAGUUUGAAUGAGUGGAUUUAUGUUAAAAACUACAUAAACCUGGUACUAUAUUGGUAAAUUUACUUUACAGGGGUACAUGCUGAAACUACUUUACAUAUAUACUAGGUUCGAACAAAUAAUAAAAUAAAAGUCAAGUUUCCUAUUGUCAGAAAAAAAAGGUACAAAUAAUCAAUAGGUGAGAGCUAUAAUGAGCACUAUAUUAUUCUGUAGUUGGCAUUAGUAUGAAACUCAGGUUUAUUUUAAUAUAUAUUGAGAGAAAGGGUCAUAGUUAUAACCAUGUGGAUAUACUUAAAUUCAUAUGCAUACAUAUGUUUCCUAGUUCUGUCUACUGAGAAGGCCUG